rnacentral:miRNA from 1 species
GGGGCUUAGCGGCGGGCGG